rnacentral:rRNA from 1 species
UGGGGAAUUUUGGGCAAUGGGCGAAAGCCUGACCCAGCAACGCCGCGUGAAGGAUGAAGUAUUUCGGUAUGUAAACUUCGAAAGAAUAGGAAGAAUAAAUGACGGUACUAUUUAUAAGGUCCGGCUAACUACGUGCCAGCAGCCGCGGUAAUACGUAGGGACCAAGCGUUGUUCGGAUUUACUGGGCGUAAAGCGUGCGCAGGCGGUUGUGUAAGUCAGAUGUGAAAUCCCCGGGCUCAACCUGGGAAUUGCAUUUGAGACUGCACGGCUAGAGUGUGUCAGAGGGGGGUAGAAUUCCACGUGUAGCAGUGAAAUGCGUAGAUAUGUGGAGGAAUACCGAUGGCGAAGGCAGCCCCCUGGGAUAACACUGACGCUCAUGCACGAAAGCGUGGGGAGCAAACAGGAUUAGAUACCCAAGUAGUCCCUGAGCGGGCUGGCAAGGCGCAU